rnacentral:lncRNA from 1 species
UGCUGGCAUUUCAUUCAGGACAAAGAAGUUGGAUGAAGCAUAGUUUUACCUCAUUGAGCUAGUUCUGGGAGUAACGAACUCCUUGUAGCAGAACUUGUACGUGUGCUAGUUCUGGGAGCUGAUCCUAUUUGUGUGUUAUAUGAUGAAGCAGAACUUGUAGGGCUCCUGUGAUAGACUUGGGCUGUAUGUGUGUAAUCUAAUUAUAAACUUGAUGCUGAUCACAUUUUUAUGUAUGUUAUAUGAUGUAGCAGAUUGCUUCCUGCUGUUAUUUGAAAUAUUGUGUCUGUUUUCUGUAUUUGCAUAUUGAAAU